AUGGUUGGAGUAGGGGUUCCAAUUUGCGUGGAAUGUGGCACAAGGAGUAACCCUUGCCGGUGUAAGGUGGUGGGGCCUACACUCGGGUUCGUGGCGUUUGUGGCAGCGGCAGUGGUGGAGUGGCCGGUGGGGGCUCUGGUGUAUUGCUUUAAGCAUACGAAGGGUCGCAGAAUCAUGGGUCAUCCUGCUACUGUUGUAUACCCUAAAGUUACCAAUGCUAUUCCCAUCUAA